rnacentral:rRNA from 1 species
GACUAAACUGUCUCUUACGGACAUUCAAUGAAACUGAUCUUUCAGUCCAAAAGCUGAAAUAUAAACACCAGACGAGAAGACCCUGUGGAGCUUCCAAACCAAUACCAACCCCUAUGGUUAUACGGUUUUUAGUUGGGGCGACUUCGGAGAACAAAAAAACCUCCAACUAGGAAACUUUCCUGAUUAAGAUCUACACAUCUAAAUAUUUAACUUGACCCAGUAGGCAUUACCCCCAUCUGAUCAAGGAACCAAGUUACCCCAGGGAUAACAGCGCUAUCCUCUUCUAGAGUCCCUAUCGACAAGAGGGCUUACGACCUCGAUGU